AUUGAACGCUGGCGGAAUGCUUUACACAUGCAAGUCGAACGGCAGCACGGACUUCGGUCUGGUGGCGAGUGGCGAACGGGUGAGUAAUGUAUCGGAACGUGCCCAGUCGUGGGGGAUAACGUAGUGAAAAUUACGCUAAUACCGCAUACGAUCUAUGGAUGAAAGCGGGGGAUCGCAAGACCUCGCGCGAUUGGAGCGGCCGAUAUCAGAUUAGGUAGUUGGUGGGGUAAAGGCCCACCAAGCCAACGAUCUGUAGCUGGUCUGAGAGGAGGACCAGCCACACUGGAACUGGGUCACGGUCCAGACUCCUACGGGAGGCAGCAGUGGGGAAUUUUGGACAAUGGGCGAGAGCCUGAUCCAGCCAUUCCGCGUGCAGGAUGAAGGCCCUCGGGUUGUAAACUGCUUUUGUACAGAACGAAAAGGUUUCUACUAAUACUAGGAGCUCAUGACGGUACUGUAAGAGUAAGCACCGGCUAACUACGUGCCAGCCGCCGCCGUAA
rnacentral:rRNA from 1 species